rnacentral:rRNA from 1 species
AUGGGCGAUGGCACCAAGGCGGGAGCGGAGCCCGACGACGCCAUAUUUGAAAGGGACUACCUAGACGACGACAACGAGGAGGAAUUGGAGCCCGAAGUAACCUUAGGUGUCUUGUGGAAACCAAAGGAACCAUGGGACUUUCAUUCUCUUCUCCCCCAGCACUUCCCCAGUAAAGCUGGCGGUGCCCCGGCCUGGCUUGAUCCUGUCAAUUUGCCAUCUGGAAAAUCCAGUUGCUGUGACUUCUGUGGUGACCCAUUGCGUUUUGUCAUGCAGGUAUACGUGCCAGAUGGGUGGAAGGAGACAACCUUCCACCGCGCAUUCUUUGUGUUUAUGUGUCCAUCCAUGUCAUGCUUACAACUAGACCAGCGUGAGCAGGGGAAGGACAAGGCAGCAAAUCCUAGAAGGAGUGUGAAGGUCUUCAGGUGCCAGCUUCCCAGAAUUAAUGCAUUUUAUACUCCUGAAGAGCCUAAGGGGUGCGUGGGAUCACAAUGUUCAGGAGCACACCGAUCUCGGCUUUGUGAUUGGUGUGGUACAUGGAAAGGUGAAAUUUUGUGCAGCCACUGUAGCAAAGCAAGCUACUGUUCUAGGAAGCAUCAGGAAUUGCAUUGGCACGCUAGUCACGAGAACGAUUGCUCUCAAAUACCAGGUUCACCAGAUGCUUCUAUUCUGCCAGUUGCAGCGAAAGUAUUUCCUGGCCACGCAUGGCCUGAAUAUGCGGUGGAUCAUGAACCUGAGCCGUCAUGUUCGACUAGUUCUAUCAAGGAUAAUUCAGAACUGAUGAUGGUAGAAGGAGAAGUUGAAUCAGAUGCUAUGAUGCAGUUAUUCAUGGAUCAGUUUGAGGUUUUCUUCGUGCUGUGGCCUAUGCUUCCAUAUUCGUAG